rnacentral:ncRNA from 1 species
CAAAGGUUUGGUCCUGGCCUUAUAAUUAGGGAAAGGUAGAAUUACAGGUGCAAAAUCCUUAAUACAGGGGUAAAUCCCUUACCAAUCCAAUUGGAAUUUAAAGGAGACGGUAUAAAGUUCAUUAAAUAGCUUAAGACACCUUGCCUUGCCACGCCCCCACGGGACCCCAGCAGUGAUAAAAAUUUAGCAAUAAACGAAAGUUUGACUAAGCCAUACUUCUAAGGGUUGGUAAAUUUCGUGCCAGCCACCGCGGUCAUAUGAUUAACCCAAAUUAAUUACGCUCCAGCGUAAAAUGUGUUUAUAUAAUUAUAAUAGAAUUAAAACUCAACUUAUAUGUGAAAAUUCAUUGUUGAACCUAAACACAAUAACGAAAGUAAUUCUAAAUUAUUUACACACGAAAGCUAAGACCCAAACUGGGAUUAGAUACCCCACUAUGCUUAGCCCUAAACGUAGGCAACUACCUAACAAGUCUGCCUGCCAGAGAACUACUAGCCACAGCUUAAAACUCAAAGGACUUGGCGGUACUUUAUAUCCAUCUAGAGGAGCCUGUUCUAUAAUCGAUAUACCCCGAUCUACCUCACCAUCCCCUUGCUAAUUCAGUCUAUAUACCGCCAUCUUCAGCAAACCCUUAAAAGGAAUUAUAGUAAGCAAGAUAAUUAACAUAAAAACGUUAGGUCAAGGUGUAGCCUAUGAGAUGGGAAGUAAUGGGCUACAUUUUCUUAAUAAGAAAACCACGCCACCCUCCAUGAAACUGGAAAGAUAAAGGAGGAUUUAGUAGUAAAUUAAGAAUAGAGUGCUUAAUUGAAUAGAGCAAUGAAGUACGCACACACGGCCCGUCACCCUCCUCAAAUUAGAUAAACAUAUUUAUUUCAUAAUAACAUUAUAAAUUCUAUCAGAGGAGAUAAGUCGUAACAAGGUAAGCAUACUGGAAAGUGUGCUUGGAAUAAU